GUUACUGCUAUCGGGGUUCGAUUAAGCCAUGCGAGUCAAAUGUUCUUCGUGAACAUGGCGAACUGCUCAGUAACACGUGGACAACUUACCCUUAGGACUGGAAUAACCCCGGGAAACUGGGGAUAAUACCAGAUAAAUCAUAGAUGCUGGAAUGCUCUAUGGUUCAAAGCUCCGGCGCCUAAGGAUGGGUCUGCGGUCUAUCAGGUAGUAGUGGGUGUAACGUACCUACUAGCCGACGACGGAUACGGGUUGUGAGAGCAAGAGCCCGGAGAUGGAUUCUGAGACACGAAUCCAGGCCCUACGGGGUGCAGCAGGCGCGAACACUUUACAAUGCGGGAAACCGCGAUAAGGGAACCCCGAGUGCCAGCAUCAAAUGUUGGCUGUCCAGAUGAUUAAAACUCAUUUGUUAGCAAGGGCCGGGCAAGACCGGUGCCAGCCGCCGCGGUAACACCGGCGGCCCGAGUGGUAACCGUUUUUAUUGGGUCUAAAGGGUCCGUAGCCGGCCUGAAAAGUCCUUUGGGAAAUCUGACAGCUUAACUGUCAGGCUUCUAAGGGAUACUGUCAGGCUUGGGACCGGGAGAGGUAAGGGCUACUCAAAGGGUAGGAGUGAAAUCUUGUAAUCCUUUGGGGACCAUCUGUGGCGAAGGCGCCUUACCAGAACGGGUCCGACGGUGAGGGACGAAAGCUAGGGGAGCAAACCGGAUUAGAUACCCGGGUAGUCCUAGCCGUAAACGAUGCUCGCUAGGUGUCUGGCACGGUGCGUCCGUGUCCGGUGCCGCAGGGAAGCCGUUAAGCGAGCCACCUGGGAAGUACGGUCGCAAGGCUGAAACUUAAAGGAAUUGGCGGGGGAGCACUACAACGGGUGGAGCCUGCGGUUUAAUUGGAGUCAACGCCGGA
rnacentral:rRNA from 1 species